AAAAUUAAACCUAUGCAUUGAAUAGUGAUAAUAAAUAAUAUUAUUGGGUAACAAAAGUGGAUCAAGAGCACAACUUGUCUGGCACUUGAGAUUCCAGUUACCAGGGUGGUUCUUCAGAUCCUCGAAACCACGCGCUAGUCGUAGCAAUACAAACAAACAUGGUAUAGACAAAAUUAACAUCACACCAAACAUAAGAACAAACUGAAUAAUAAUGAUCUACGCGAAGCCACGAGAUCGCAGGCUCGAGAACUACUACGAUCGGAGUUACGGUUAAGGAGUUAUGAUUUUAUAGAAGGUCUAUGUGAUUUAAAUAUUAAACCAUAUUAUAAAUUUGUUAGUAUAAAUCAUAUGAGAGGUUAUUUUAUAAAUAGUUAUCUCAACUUUAAUCUAAGUCAAUAAUGGAUCAUAGAUCAUCUUCUAUUACAUUAAUAAGCAGAUUAACAAAACUAACCAACAUAAGUUAAAUAAAGAUCUAAUUAUAAAAGAAUGAGACAUGGUAUAAUAAAUAUUGUUACCGCGUAGUAAAUACUUGUACAAGACUAACGCAACUUGAAUGGAUCAAAUCGGAGUUAAAACGAAGGAGUUAUGAAUUUCCUAAGGUUUUAUGUAUUCAAUACAAGAUUAAUCAAGGGAUUAAUUUGAAUACAGUUUUCAUGCCAAACCAGAGGUACUAUGUGAUAAACAAUAAUAUUAUAGAAUUAUAGAAACUGGAAUGGACUGAAAAGGGGCUAAAAUGCAUUUUCUAGGAAUUAAUUAAGUUUCUAUAAUUAUUUUCACACAAAAAUGUAUUUUUUAAAUGAAUUCUUUUGAUUUUCUGUUCUUUGGACUGAGCGCACUAUUUACAGAAACCAUAGGGGCUACGACGCAAAUUGUUCUAAGACACAUGCCAUCCCGCAGUGGGCUGCGGGUUAAAUUCUAUAAAGUUUAGGGCUUCUUUUGCAAAGUCGUCGGCCGAAGGGGUACGGGCGAUCUCGAGCCGUCUGAUUCAAAACCAAUGGUUCUGAUUAGAUCCCUAGCUGCCCCAACUGGUAUGCGCAGAUGACCGACCGAUCCGAGAUCUACGACCCAGAAAGUGCCACGCCACCAACAUGACCCAGCCAUCGGAUCGUCCAUCCGUGGCAUAGAUUUGAUCAACUUCAUAACGAACCGCUACGACCUAAUGUCCAUCGGAUCAGAACUCAAUGGCCAGAUUUUAAUGGAUCCAGAUCUAACUCUAUCCGUUCUGUAACACACCUGGUGUUACGGUAACUAAAACGCUGGCAUAUCAUCAUAAGCACUUGCAUUAUCUUGUUUGAUAUACCUAGAAUGCAUUUACUAGGUUAAAAUUUUCUUUUCAAAAGUGUGAUGUCGUGUGUUGAGUAUAGGACUUAGGUUGAAAACCUUGCUUGGAAUUGUGGAUAAACAAAAUAACUCCGAAAUCAAGGACUUGUUGGGAAGGAGCUACAUAUGCUAAAGUCGCAUCUUAGACUAGAGAGUAACUUUUGUUUCUGAUGGAUGGAUCAAAGGGAUGAAUCCCUGGAAGAAUUUGAAACACAGAUGAAACUCAUUUGAAACCCUAAACUAACCCCAAUUGUGGAAUUUAAAAUCUAGAAGGAUUUAGCUAAAAGCCCAUAUACCAAGGUUGUAGGACUUGGAAAAGUGAACAAAUUUCAUACCUGGAGAAUUCCAAGUUGUGUGGAGAAAUUUGGAGUAAUUUGUAAAAUUUCAGCAUGAGUUCAGUUUGAAUUGGGCUGAAAACAGUUUCAUAUAGCUGUUUUUGGACCCUUAUAACUUUUGAUCUAUGGACUUUUGGUAAGGAGUUACUAUAACAAACUUGUAAAGUGAUUGUUGGAGAACAAUCCUUAUUAAGUGUACUAGCCCUAAAACUACAUGCUACCAGGAGCAAAGGGGGUCCAAAGAUGGGAUGCUAGGUAUUGUGUUUUCAGACUUAGCCAAAUCAUUGCAGCUGAGUUUUAGUGAGAUUUGUGCAGUUUUGGAGCUCUCUAUUGCUCUAUCCAUAGGGUUAUAGGUGAUGAUCAUUAUAACAAAGUUAUAGAGCUACAUGAGGAGUAUAAGUUUGGUUAAGUCAUAUAGCUCUAAAACUAUUUGGAACUUUGAGUAAAACUGGUCCAAAGUAAAGCUGUCAAAAUUUGUGGAUUUCAGACUUGUGAAAUUCAGAUUCUGAAUUUCAGCAAUUGGAGCAAACUUUGAGGUAUUGUAGUUUGGAAUUCAAGAGGUUUUAGUUAAUGGUCACUAUAUAAAACUUGUAGAGGAACUAUAGGAGUAUAAACUUUAUUAAGCAACUUAUCCCUAAAAACAUUUGGAACCCAGGAAAAAGAGUGGUUCCAAGUGGUGCUGUUGUAUUUCUGAAUUUUCAGAUUGAAAACAGUAACUGAAACUGAAUUUUAGUGUUUUGAUAGCAGUUUUGAAGCCUAUUUGUGGCUAUCCUAUAAGGUUUUGUGCUGUGGUGUUUGUAGAAUAAGUGAAGACCAUAUAAUGUGGAAUAACUUUCUUUAAAGGUGAUGGACAUGAUCCUAUACGAAAAUUGGAGUAACAGCUGCUCAAAUUUGGACUGUCUGGUGGCUGAAACUGAAUUGUAUUCAGUCCACUGUAAACUGAAAUUCAGCACAAGGGUGUCUAGUUUGGAGCCCUAUGGUAAUUAGUGCAAGUAGAUUUGGGUUAGGAAUUCUUUAGCAAACUGAAAGGCCAUAUAUAGGAGAACAAAUUCCCUUAAGAGGGUUGGACUUGGUGCUACACAAAAAGAGGAGUAAAAUUGUGUCCAAACUACCUCUGUCAGAUUCAGUGUGGUGCUGUUUCAGACUUCUGAAAACUGAAUUUUCAGUGAUUUUGCUCCACUUUCGUGCUUCAUAAAUAUUGUUCUGAGUAUCUUCAGCCAUGGAGUGUUAUACAAAAUAGGGAGAGCUAUAAUUGGAGAGUAAUUUUGGUUAAGAAAUGUGGGCUUGUUGUUGAAGGGAAUUGUGAGUUCAGUCCAAGAAUUGCAGUUCAGUAUUGGGUUGAAUAAACUGAAGAAGAUUACUCCUUUCCUGUCCUUUGCCUAUGUUAUGAGUGAAGAAUGGGAUAGAGAUAUGGUUGUGGUACAGGGUUAAGGAUCUACAGACUGCUCCACACUACAAUAUCCAAAUUUGGACUAUUUUUGUGAGCAGUGAGCAGUAGAGUCUUAUCUGCUAACUAUUGGUGGGAGUGAACUGGACAGCAGAGAUUCUAGUGGCUUUACCCCUUCAAAAAUAUCAGAUUUUCGACCUCUUUAUGCUCAGCCACUGGUGGUGUGCUCAGUCAUGUUACUGCCUGUCUGUGUUCUUUGGACAGGGGAUAUUUUGGCUGUAGAAAAAUAUCAACCAGGUGCAGUGUAUCUGCUGAACCUGUGAAUCUGAGUGGUAUGUGUGCAUGUGAGCCACAUAGAUAAGUUCAUGUAUUGCUGGCACUCUAGGAAACACUCUCCACUGCAUGCUGAACAUGUGUAGGGACACCUUGCCCAUAUUCAGGUACUUAUAGGGCAUGGAUAUGGGAAGCUUCCUUACUGUCCUUGAGCUCUGGAUUCCCUGCAUAAGUAAGGUGGUCCUUGUGCCAUCAAGAUGGUGUAACUUCCUCUCCCCAGUCUCUAGCCUUGAUCUGAACUAGAUCUGAGCACGCCAGCCCUCUGCGUGGUAACCAUUGUCCACAUCACAGUGGCCAGGUAAUCUCAAGAGCUUUCUCAGCUGUGUGGUAUAUGUUCCAUGCUCUAAAUCAAUCAGUGAAGCUCACACCAUUUACUAUUUGAACUCUACCACUGUAUGUUGCUGGGAACUAGGUGUUAAAUUCACUCAAAAAUAGGCUGUCAGUUUUUUUGGUUCCCAGAUUUAGUGCAGAAAGCUGAAACUAUAUUCUAAUGUGUUGAGCUCCACUUUGGUGCUUCAUAAAAAUUGUUCUGAAUGUUUUCAACCUAGGGGUACUAUACCAAAGUAGUAGAGCUAUAUCUAAGGAAUAACUUUGGUAAUGUGAGCUUGGUUUGUUGCUGUGUAAAAACUGGAGAAAAGGUUAGCUAAAGUUGGACUGUCAGGCUGAAUACAACUGAAUUUUUUUUAUUCAGUUCUGUGAACUGAAUUGCAGCAGUAUGCAUAGUUUGGAAUUCAUUUGUGACUGAUUCAUGGGGUUUUGGAUUAAAGUUUACAUAGCAAAACUGGAGACCAUAGUAAAGAGAGUAAGUUUUGUAAAGUGUGGUGGACUUGGUUCCACAUAAAUUUGGAAAUAAAAGUGGCCAAAAGGUGGACUGUCAGGUGUUAGGAUUCAGACUUAGAAUAAUAUUUGUCUGAAUUUGUGUGUUUAUUCAGUUUUGGGUCCUUGUGGUAAUUAAUCCCAGAAGAAUUAGGGUAAGAAUGCUAUAGCAAAGUAAAAGACCAUGUAAAGGAGAGCAAGUCUCAUGCAAAGUGUUGGCUUGCUACUUUGUAGAAUUUGGAGAAAAAGGAGUGACAAAACUCUCUGUCAGACCUAGUAAUGUGUUGUUUCAGAUUGGGAAAAUGGAAUUUCCGUGUGUUUGCUCAACUUUAAUGCACCCUAACGCUUGGUAUGUAUGGUUAUAAGCUAAAGACCUUACAGAAGAGAUUUGUAGCUGUGUUGGGUGAAAAAGUUUCUUACAGAGAAAUAAGUUUGGAGCUGUAUAAAAUUUAGAAUAAAAUGUGCCUAAGUUUCUUCUGUCAGUCUGUGUGAGAUGUCUGUUUCAGAAAACUGAAAACAAGUUUAGUGGAAGGUGGCUGAAUUUUGGUCACCUUAACUUGUAGUACAUGCAGUUUGGAUCCUUGCUUAAGGCAUAAAUGAAGCACUUGGUUGGUUAUAGAGGCAAGGUUUUCUAGUUUGGUUGGUGAAUUGUGUUGUGAUAUUAGAGUAUUUAGCUCUCUUAAGGUUUUGUUAGUUUUUGUGUGCACCUUUAGAGAGGUAUAAGUGUUGUGAUGUUUUUUAGUAUUUUCUUUUCAAGUUGCAUAAGCAUAAACAUCCAUGAUCAUGUCGUUUCAUAUAGAACUCCUACCAGAAGGAGUGAAGAUUCAACCUGAAGUGGUGACUGAAGAGGAAUCUACUCCAGUGGCUGCUGAUCAAGUGGAGGAGCCAUCUAACUGGGUUUAAUAGAGGGAUCUAGAACCUCUUCAAUGCAACAAAGGCAAGCCCCGGUGCAUGCAACCCCUUCCUUGUGUUUUUAAAUUAUUUUUAUACACUUUAAGUCUAGUGAAUGUGCAUUAGGUUUAUAGGAGUUGCUUGGAAACCCUUUGAUGCAUUGCCUUCCUUGAUAUCCAUACCUUUAUAGAUACUUCUGAUGAAGUAUCAAAAUAUGAUUUACAAAAAUGCUUAGCCCUGCUCAGAUCUUGUGGAUAGAGGUUGUCUUUUGCAUUAAGGCCUAGCUCAGGGGUUAUCCUGGGAAAGAUGGCUUUUACCUGCAAGAAUAUUUUCAUUGAGAGCGUGGUGGAAUCUUACUGUAAAGUUCUCUUUGAUGCUCUUUUCAUCCUAAGGAAUAUAAACAAUCCUAAGGGUGGAAGUACUUAAAUCGGGACUUGGGCUAGGAACAGGUGAUGUUCUACCCAGGUUGAUUAAGGAUUGAAUGCGUAUGUAGGCUUGCUGAUCAAGGACUAUCUUAACUAGCCACAUGCCCUGGAUAUGGGACAGGGUAAGCUUUGCCUUGGGCAGACUAAUACCAGAAUAAGAUAACACGCAAUGGGAGUGGAGAGAUGGCGAGAGUAGCGUGUCCCCUCCGUGGCAAGAGGCUGGACGGUGGUGUAUCUGUGCUCUCGGUUGGCGUGAACUUGAUCUGGUCUUAAGAACCCCAGUGGCGAGUUGACAUAUGCAAGGGUUAAGUGCUACAUAUGUCGUGUGGUUAGAGAUCCUCAGCUGAGUAAAUCGAUUCGGAUCGUCGUUAUAUCCCCGGACAGUGGAGACUUGGUCACUGCCCUACAACCUAAGUCAGGAUGUGAACCUCAUGAAUAAAAAUGAUGUUGUAUUGAUGAGAUGGUGAAAUUAGACCAGAUGCAAACAGAGUCUAUUAAUAUUUAAUCUGGCGUUAAAAUAUUGAACGUAAGGACUCACUUUAGUAAGCUAUUUCUGCAAAAGUAUCUAAUUUGAUUCUUGCUAAAACUUUUCCUUGAUUCCCAAAUCCAGCAUACCCUUGAAAGUCUUUUCUUUAGUCAGGUAAGUCUUGCUGAGUAAUUCCGUACUCAGAGUUUUAUUCCCUAUUGUUUUUCAGGUCAUAGUUUUGUGCUGAUGAUGAUGGUGUUAAGUGCCGGUGGGCUCGGCCUUCUUAUAAGUUUAAGUAACUCUUCUAUACUUUUUAUUGAGGAUGGUCACUUGAGCUAGCAUAUAUUUCAAACUUAUACUUUUGUAAUCACUCCGAUGAAUAUAAUGAAAAAUUUUUGUAACCUGUAAAAUUUGGUAAUAAGAUUUUCGCUGCAAAAAUGUUGAUGUGUGUGAUUUGUGUUUACUUAAUCACGUGGUUCUGGUUGUAAGUGGUUUAUCUGGUGUCCUUGGGGCAAUCGGACGGAUCCUGUUAAGUUAGCUGGUGCACAGACAUAGCAGUCUGAGGUCUUUGAGACAAGGACAGGUGCAUGUGGGCCCAAUAACUUAGGAGGUUCUGCCACACGUUCGAUCACAAUCAAUGGCUCAGAUCAAUCCUCUCAACGGGUAUGCCAGGGAUCUGAUCGCCGCCGUACACCCCCACAUCCCAUGGCACACACGGUUUUCCCCCAACCCUUUCUUCUUCCCUGGGCACCACGGAUUGAACACGGCGGCCAGGGAACCCACCAUGGCGGACACCAUGGCAGAGCACGUGUCACGACGCAAGCUCGACUCCCCGAUUCAAAAGAGCGACAUGCAGAGGAGAAUGCUACGAAUAACAUGGAUAGGUUGAUCACCUGCAAUCGGCUGCAGAGGAGCCCGCCCACGGUGCGAGCGGAACCCACGGUGGAGCACCAACUCCGGCGUGAAAUCGCGGGUUCCCCGAUCGGCAAUCCCAUCUAGCGAAGCACCUUGUGCCAUCCAUGCCUCUAAUCAAAGCUCCCAGACCCACUGGUGGAAUCCCGAGCGGUAGCGUGGGCGAGUUCCACGGCGGUGGAACCACAACAUCGGCGCAAAGGCGACCGACCACCACAGUGCCCAAAACGUCGAUUAAACCGAGCUACGCAUAGAGGAGACAAUAGCGAACGUGGGGGAUGAGGACUCACCAGAGAAGGAGUCUGCGGAGAGGCUGACCACGGAGGACAGUGGGUUCGCGGUCUCCCGUGAAGAAAUCCCAAGCCUCGGGCGCCGGUUCAACGCGGCGAGGCCACAAUAACUUCUCCACGCACAGGUGGAGCUUCACGGCACGGCACUGGGGCAGCGACAACGACGAGCCCACCGGCGAUGGCAUAGCUCGGUUCUUUCUCUCUCUCUUCGUUCUCACCAUGGAAAUGGCGGCGCCACUAGCUUAACCCACGCCCCUUGUUGACCGCGACCCGCGGAUGGCUAGGGAAGAGGAGGUAUAGGGGGGUUUGGCCCGCUUUUGUAGCCGGUCGAGGGGAGUCCAUGGGCGCAGGGGUAUCGGGCGGCGUAACAACAUGCCCG
rnacentral:lncRNA from 1 species